GAAAGGCUCUUGCACUUCAUGAAGACAGUUGCUGUCAACAAAUCCAAAAGAUUCUACCAAGCUGCAACAAAGCUACAGAUUAUGAUGGGAGAACAGGCAGUUAGCACACAGGUCACAGAGAUGGUGCUGCUUCUUCUGGCUUAUUUUGACGAGAGAGAUGAUGUGAUGUUCCAUUACGUGGAGGAUACUUGCCUGGCUGAAGAAGUGGUCAUGGACCGAGUUCCCUUGACUCCAACGAUUGUUGUAUGUGGACAAUCCUGCUUUUCCGCCAGAAGGAUGAUGCUUAGUGUGGAUCACGUCAUCGUUAACGACAACAUCUCUUCCUUCAUCACGUCUUUGUGCAUGAUGUUUGGCUCUUACUACUGUUUCAACAUCCAUUAUCCCUCAGCACUUGCUUCAACCCUGGAGUUUCUACAGAGAUGUUUCUUCUCUAUAAAUCCAGAGAGGGGGACCAAAGUGGAGCGAACCAGUGCUACACGCUUGCAUGUAAAUGCCAGAGUCCUGACGCUGAUUCAGGACCUCUCAGACCACGAAUGGCGAUCCAUUUAAAAAGGUGUCCUUUGAGUGGCCACAGCAGUUGAUGUUUCCCCAGAUGUUCUUCAGGGUGUGUUUAUAGAUGUUCCAGCCCAUGAUAUGCGAGCCAUUUAAAAAGGUGUCCUUUGAGUGGCCACAGCAGUUGAUGUUUCCCCAGAUGUUCUUCAGGGUGUUUUUAUAGAUGUUUCAGCCCAUGAUUGGCGAGCCAUUUAUAAAGGUAUUCCUUUGAGUGACCACAGCACUCAUAACUCUACUGUUUUCAAAAAUAAACUUGCAUUCUUUAGAAUGAUUCAUUGACUAACGAGUGGUUUGUUACAGUCUAUCCUCAAAUUAACAUUUAGAAGUAAUUUGAAGCACUGCGGAUAAAAAGUAAAACUGUAAUACAUGCGUACAUGUCCUGUUGAUUUUUCGGAUAAAAACUGGCAGCUGUGGUUGCCAGAAUAAUCCUGUU